GAUGAAGAACGUAGUGAAAUGCGAUACUUGGUGUGAAUUGCAGAAUCCCGUGAACCAUCGAGUCUUUGAACGCAAGUUGCGCCCGAAGCCAUUAGGCCGAGGGCACGCCUGCCUGGGCGUCACACGUCGUUGCCCCCCCAUCUACUCCUUCGGGAUUGCGGGGGGCGGAUGAUGGCCUCCCGUGCGCCUCGUCGCGCGGUUGGCAUAAAUGCCAAGUCCUCGGCGACGCACGCCACGACAAUCGGUGGUUGCGAAACCUCGGUUGCCCGUCGUGUGCGGUCGUCGCGCAUCGAGGGCUCGAAAAAAUUGCCGGGCUCCGGCUCGGCUUUCAACGCGACCCCAGGUCAGGCGGGGUUACCCGCUGAAUUUAAGCACAUCAUAAGCGGAGGA
rnacentral:misc_RNA from 1 species